rnacentral:lncRNA from 1 species
CUUAGACUUUACCCUAUGGAACCUGAACAGGCUUCAGUGAGGGCUUUCUCUUGAUCAGCUCUCCCCAAGUCCGUACAACCUCCAGGACCCUCUGUUGGAAAGUGGAGCCCAUUGCCCUGGUUGUCUCCCCUCUUGAUUGUUACUUAAGGUGGAGACUUGUUUGGAUGCCUCUGGAAACACAAACAUAAUCAGAUAUCAAAGGUGGACCUCACGAUCCCAAAAGGGCUUUGGUUGGCUGGAAUCACCACAGUGCCUGCUUUAAAGGGAACAGUUGUCCAGGCCUCGAACAUUCUGGAAUGAUACAAGAUGAUCAAGAGAAAGCCCACAGAGCUCGGAACUCCAAAGAGAGAGGAAUGGAGCCCUUAUUCACAUAUCUGGCUCCUACACUCCUGCGUGUCCCCAGGUGGCAGAAUGGACUGUGUGUGGACAGGGAUGCCCCUACAGAAACCCAAGGGCCAGAAACCUAUUGACCGUGCUCCAGGAAUAGGAGCUUUUCCCACAAGACCUGUGGAAAGUACCAUGUAAUGAAUGUGAAUUGGUUUCUUUCUAAGAAGUCCUCUUCUUCUCUGGAAGACUCUAGAGGAAGUCCCUUCAUCUUUGUGUUGUGUCCUGCUGUGGGGAGGAUGAAGCUCAGAGCUUCAGAAACUCUGGGUUCAGUUAAAAAACCUCUUUGCCAAGCCUGUCCUACCCACCUUGCAUAAAAUAAUUUAAAGAGAAAAA